rnacentral:rRNA from 1 species
CUGACCUCAAAUCAGGAGACACCG